rnacentral:rRNA from 1 species
CCUACGGGUGGCAGCAGUCGAGAAUUUUUCACAAUGGGGGAAACCCUGAUGGAGCGACGCCGCGUGGAGGAUGAAGGCCCUUGGGUUGUAAACUCCUGUCAUAAGAGAACAAGAAAGUGAUAGUAUCUUAAGAGGAAGAGACGGCUAACUCUGUGCCAGCAGCCGCGGUAAUACAGAGGUCUCAAGCGUUGUUCGGAUUCAUUGGGCGUAAAGGGUGCGCAGGCUGUGUGGUAAGUCAGGUGUGAAAUUUAGAGGCUUAACCUCUAAACUGCACUUGAUACUGCCAUGCUAGAGGACUGUAGAGGAGAUUGGAAUUCACGGUGUAGCAGUGAAAUGCGUAGAUAUCGUGAGGAAGACCAGUGGCGAAGGCGAAUCUCUGGGCAGUUCCUGACGCUCAUGCACGAAGGCUAGGGGAGCAAACGGGAUUAGAUACCCUAGUAGUC